GCCAGCCAGCUCCAUCUCCCUGUCUCUGAGUGGCCUGGCCUAAAUGUGGAGGAGCUAUAUUCAGACGGCUGUGAGUGUGGGCGUUCAGUGAGAGAACGGCUCAGGCAGCGAAGUUGCCUACACACUCCUUCAUUCUGACUCACUCUUCACAGUGGUACAUGAGGACAAAAGUCAGGACCAGACGAGCUGAAAGACCAGACUGAGUAAAACAAAGUGUGAGCCGGCGUCACUUCCUCUAUCCCUGAAGCCAGCUGCCUUUGCACACUACGAUUUUAAUCAAGCUCUCAGUGGCAUGAAACAGAUCUUGUACGAAGAGGCCGUUGAUUUAGUUACAGGAAGAAAAGGAGCCACUGUGAAAUCCACUCACAGCGUACUCAUCAAAGAUGAUAUUCAUCUGGCUUGCUGAGUCAUGUAACAGACAACAAUCCACCAGUCAGGAUUGAUAAUGGAUUAUUCUCUCCCUGCGUUUAUUUGACAGGAACCAAUAAUCUUUGGGUGUCUUGGCUUGAUUAGCUCUGUUUGCAGUCAAUACACUGGAGGAAGUAGAGAUUAUAAUGUGAGGGAGGGGCCAAGAAUUUUUAAUUCUAUGUGUGUUUUGCAGUCAGGUGUCCAUAAUUAAUGUCAAAAACAAUCAAGAAGAUCUUCCUCGAUGAUAGAAGAAAAACCUGAUUGUAAAGGUUGGUCUAAAAAAACAGUUUAUAUCCAAGUCCUAAAUUCACAAAAAUGUACUGAAUCCACCUGUUAAUCAAAGGAAAAUGGAAGUCAGACUGGAAGUGCUACAUAGAGGAGUUAUGGUAAGGAGGUGAGUUAAGAUGGAGGGCAUUAUUCAGAGAAGUAACCAACAGGCUAUAGGGUUAAUUCAAAAAGAACUGGAGAGAUUCACAGCUGAAUCAUGUAUACUCCAUGAACACUGGGAGUGGUGAACCAUGUGAAAUCCUGGUUGGAGUUUGCCAAGAAACAUGUUGCAGACUCUUCUCUGAUUCUGAAACAGCACAUUUGGUGAAAACCUAAAACGGCUUAUCAGUUCUGCCACUGCUGUAGCUAAACCACCGAAGGAAAAUAAUCACUUACAAAGUUGGCGUGAUUCAGCCCAAAGUGAAGUUACUGUUAACACCCUUAUUUUCCUAUAAAAACGUGUACAAUAUUGUUAUUCUUACAUUUAAUGUAGAAUGUCUGAGCCAGGUACUUUCUGAACCAUCAGAUACAGUUGAAGAUAAGACAAGCUUUUGAUAGCACUGUGGUAUAAAUAAUGUUAGUUAAGGAAACCUAUAUGUAAAGCAUUGCACAAAAACCUGUUUCACAACAUGCUAAAACACAACAUGGUUUAAAAAAAGCACAAAACAGGAAACUUGACAAAGGCCCCUGGAUGUUGAGCUCAGUCUGUGUCACAUCAGCAGCCUCGCUGAACUUCCUCCGUUUCUAUGGUUCACUUAACCUCCCCAUGGACACAGAGCACGAUGCUGACAGCUCUGAGGGUCAUUUCGAAGGACGGAGUGCAUCAGGACAGCCUUGAAACCUGCAGAGCAUACGCAGCACAUUGCUUUAUUACUACAUGUUAUUGAUUGGAACAGAUAACAGUAUGAUAAGAGUAUGUUAGUUAGUUUUGUUAUAUCAGAUUCUUCACAGCACAAGUCAGUAGGAAGAUGUGAUUCCAAGAGUGUGUUCAUUUCAUCAAAAAAUUUAACCAGGUAUCAACUAGUAUUAGCUUCAUUUCCAAAAAUACAAUUCACAAGACAUACAGCAAGCAUCUUCAAAAAGUAUGAUCUUCCUCUCUAUGUCUUCAAAAAACAUAGAUAAUUUUUUUUUUUGCUUUCAUAUUUGCUUUAGUAUUUUAUGUUUCAUGUGCAUUGGUUUUGGUCAAAUUAAUUUUGUGUUAAAUAUUAAUGUUUAUGCUAUUUCCUGAGCUACAAUUCUUUGCCCAAUUAACGAUGACUUAACUACUGUACUUGUUUCAUGGUUCUCUAAAAUUUUCUGAAUCUUUUUUCUAUACUGCUUUUUAGUUUGUGUUUCAGCUUUUUUUCCUUUGUACACGGUAUUAUUUAACGUACCACAUACUAUAUUAAUAAGUUUAUUAUAAUUUGUUAUUGUAACAAACAAUCAUAAAAAUAAAAUAUGCAUUAAAAGGAAAUUUUUGGCCAUACAACAAACACACCUUUUAUAAAGCCAGGAUGCCUGUAUACUUACGUCGUCCCUCAUCCUGAUCAGCUUGAACUAAACCUCUCUGUGUCUCGCUUCCUUGAAGCCCCCCUUGACAGCUGUGUCAACAAGCAUAAGGGUCUUGGCCUUAAACAAACCUUCAGGAGAGCCAUUGUACAUGCUCUCCCUAAUAUACUGCCAUAAUGUUUGCACAGACUCUACUCUAAUGACAGCUGCUAAAUCUGAAACCCACACACUUCAUGAACAAGGAGCCUCGCAGGCACACUCUUCAAUUUGUCGUCAUGUUUCUUAACUAGCUCUGUCUUGUUUAAUAUAUGUGGAACACUUUAUUGGUUUUAAUGAGCCUGGGGUCAAAGUCAUUUCUUGGCUUAAGCUGAACAGUACUUGCUGAACUUUUGAGCCUCAUGUAAAUUAGAUUUCAGUUAAAGAGUUAAGAUAGAACUCUCCAUGAGUUAAAUGACAGUAUUCUUUUA